UAACAGGCGUACGUCGUGUUUUUAUUUGGUUUUCAAACGAAUUUAUUAUGUCGCAUAGACUUACAAGUACUUAACGUUAAAUUGUCAUUUUAAAUUCAUACAUUUAUUUACGUACCUGUAUUUUAUCUUAAACGACUGUGAAAUGAAUAUCGAUCUAGAAUUCCGGUUUUACCAUUGUCCUGUUGUUGAAGUGUGUCUAAACAGCAAAGUGUCGACUAAUGUAUUCGUCCACUUGGCGAAGAAGACGUUUAACAUCUUUAAUGAACACCAUCAUUACAGACUGCCUCUGAAAGUGGUAUCGAUAUCGUGACAGAAUGACACCUGAAAAUGAGGAGGACUUAAAUGCGUUGCCCGAUGAACGGAGUACAAUUAACGAAUUCGAUUUUAUAGCAACAGUUCACUAAAAUAAUUAUGAACAAACUAUCUGCGUAUAUAAUGUAUUAAGUUUUUCUUAACAUAAGAAAAAUGAGUUGUGGAAUUGUACCUUUUUCAUUUAAUGGUAAAGCUAAUGAUACCUUAUGCAACAUUAUCCAGAAUUUUUCCUAGAUCAAAAAGGAAAAUUCAAAACUUCAUUGCCGUUAUCACUUCUAAGAAGAACCAUUCUAUGAACCCUAUAGUGCUAGAGAAAAUGUAUUAUAUGUAAUUAUAAAGGCUUUUGUAAAUUUAUUUUAAUAAUAAUAUUUUAUUAAAAUUGAA